rnacentral:misc_RNA from 1 species
UCUAACCCGCAAGGGAGGGGGACGCCUAAGGCAGGGCUGAUGACUGGGGUGAAGUCGUAACAAGGUAGCCGUACCGGAAGGUGUGGCUGGAUCACCUCCUUUUAAGGAGACCCAAUCUGUUCAGGUCGCAACGUCACCUUAUUAGAACAGAUUCAAUGCGGUCUAAGCACGAGGUUGACCUUGGCUUUCAAACUCUGCUAGGUUAAGCAGACAGGCAUGGGCU